CACAAGCUCUACUGGACAACUGAGGAUGAAGGUGCCCCUGAACAAUCCCACCGGAAAGUGGCAGGCUUGGGAAAUACAGUCGUGCUUGCUGGAGCCUCUCUGCCCCGCCAAGAGGCCUGAGUGCCUUUUAUUAAACAGAGGACUAUUCAACAAUAAAUAUUUCUCACGCAAGGCCGGAGGAGUUACCAUACUUGGCUCCCUCCCAGCCUGGCUGAGUCAGCAGGGAAUUUGCCAAGAAUGGGCUGAAAUAAGGUAUAGACCCAGGGAUGCUGUGAGAUUAAGAUUUUCGAAGUGCAGGGGCUUUAGCAGGGAGAGCGCUGGACUUGGAUUUCAAUCCUUCCUGAUACAGUUACGACUUAUCGGCUGUGAGUCCCUGGCCCCUGUUGGGCACCUGCAGGAGGCAGACAAGGACCUGGCUCAGAGGAUGACUGGGCACGGCCUCCUCAUCUUGGUAAAGACGACGGGGCUUCCCACUCUGGAAGGAGAGAAGCCAGCCCUAAACAUGGUGCAGGGCCUGGGGGCCUCUGUGGUCCAGGAGAUGUCCUUCUCCACUCCUUCACUUCUCAAAUACUGGGCUCCUCCCUCCUUGAAUUGCCCCCACCCAGGGCCCAACCAGAGGCCAGAUAUCCCCAGAGGCAUGAGGAUAGU
rnacentral:lncRNA from 1 species